UACGGGGGGGGCAAGCGUUGUUCGGAAUUACUGGGCGGAAAGGGUCUGUAGGUGGCCAACUAAGUCAGACGUGAAAUCCCUCAGCUUAACUGGGGAACUGCGUCUGAGACUGGAUGGCUCGAGUGCAGGAGAGGAACGCGGAAUUCCAGGUGUAGCGGUGGAAUGCGCAGAUAUCAGGAGGAACACCGAUGGCGAAGGCAGAUCUCUGGGCCGUAACUGACGCUGAGGAGCGAAAGCAUGGGGAGCGAACAGG
rnacentral:rRNA from 1 species